rnacentral:rRNA from 1 species
GACGAAGGUGGCGAGCGUUGUUCGGAAUCACUGGGCUUAAAGGGCGCGUAGGCGGCUCAUCAAGUGUCUUGUGAAAUCCCUCGGCUCAACCGAGGAAUCGCUGGGCAUACUGACGAGCUUGAGGCAGGUAUGGGCGAGUGGAACUCUUGGUGGAGCGGUGGAAUGCGUAGAUAUCAAGAGGAACGCCGGUGGUGAAGACGAUUCGCUGGGCCUGUCCUGACGCUGAGGCGCGAAAGCCAGGGGAGCAAACGGG